rnacentral:Y_RNA from 1 species
GGCUGGUCUGAAGGUAGAGUGAUCUCAAUUAAUUGUACAGUUACGGAUUGAACUCCUUGUUCUAUCCUUUCCCCCUUCUCACUACUACACUUGACCAGACUUAA